AGGAUUGAAAAUUAUUUGGUUGUGCCUUGGUUGGACUGCGCUGGGAUCUCGCUGCCUCUACGUUUCCGGAGUCUUUAGUGAAGAGAUGAUUUUUUUUUUUUUUUUUUGAAACUGGGUUUAUGUGCGUCCCCCUCACCCCUCCUCUCUUUUUUCUUUCUGCCUCUGUCGUCUCUCUCGCUGGCUUUUUUUUUUUUUUUUUAAAUGAGGAUCCGUUCCAUGAACAUUUUGCACAGAGCACAGAAUUGCUUCUAAAGUCAGCCCGGCGCAGUUGCAAUAGACAGCAAAAAGGUAAACGUUUGCCUGAAAUCCGCACGGCAGCUUCACCACCCCGCCCGAUGGUUAAUCAGUGACCAAGGGAAGAUAGAGAGGUUAUCACUAUGCAAACUGUGCCAAGGUUCUGUAACAAUCAAGAACACGUGAACACCUACCUGUGGGAGGAGGCUUGGGGGCACACUGUUUCUGGUGCCUGCUGAAGCCAGCAUUCUGGAGAUGGACAGCCGUUCAAGGAAAUGAAGGGAGAUUUUGUAAAUUGCAGAUUCUAAGCAGGACAAGGACUGUUGCUUCCCUGAAUUGGCCUGCUUUCCCAGAGUAUCUUAAAAGGUCUCUUGAAACAAAUAAAAUCCUCAGAACUUCUGGGACUAUCACAGACAGUGUCCUGUUACUGGCUUUAAACAGUCCCUCAUGAGGAAGAAGCCCUAUAUCCUGAAGUCAGAUGUCAAUCAUCCUGGGAAGACUCAGCCAAGAAUACAUGCUUAGAAGAAAACUGUUUCAAGCAUCGUCAUUUUCGUGGAUGUAUCUGCACAGUCCUCCCUUUCCACAAACACCAACACUGAAGCCCCGACGCUGGGAGUCUCUGAAUUAAGACCCUGGAGAAGAAUUGCCAAAAGGAUUUACUUUUAAGGAAGCCCAUGAUCCUAUAAGAGUGAUCAUCAGUGUAAAUCAAAUCAAAAGACUUAGAUGCUCUCUCCAGCUCUCCAUCUCCCAACACCCAGAAGAGGUGUCAUAUGCGGUUUUUCCUCUGCACCACAUCUUCCAACUAUGAUGUCUAUCAUCAAAAAGUCCAGAGCAAUGAGAUCACAUCAUGGUGAACAGAUACCACCGUAACUCAUAAAGAGAAAGCUUGACCCUAGACGUGGAGUGAAUUGAGUGUGCAGGUUCCUACGAGUUCACUGCGGUUCCAGUGGGGAUUGGGCAGGCUCCAAGCACUAAAUAACCCUAAUGAUAUCAGGACUGGUCCUGUUUGGUCCAUCUUAACACUGUUGGUUAACAGUGGACUCUGACUUUCAUGAGGAUGACUGGACAUCCUCUGGGAUGCCAGGAGGCUGCCCUUCCCUGCUUUGACUUUGUUCUGUCAGACUUGAUAAGAUUUUGACUUCCAGUUAAAACCUGCCAUCGGGUGUUCAGCAGGAGAGUGAAAGAGCGCCAAGCACACUGUACCAGCAUCAGAGGCUGAGCCUGCCAGCAGAACUGACUCUGAUGGAAAAGGGUGUCCUAGGGCUCCUGAUGCAGCUGCUAUCUGCAGACCUCCUGGACUGUCAGGGGAAGGGAGUGGGAGCUCCUGCCACAGAUGGGUGGAACAUCGACAAGAAGGGCUAAAGGUGGCCAAAAAUAACAGUGCCUUCCAGAUGAGGUGACCUCAGAGCCAAGAGCAUCAUGGGGUAGAGUAUCUUGUUCCCAGUUUUAUGACCUAAAAAGUACACAGAAGAUGCAAAGAUACUACAGAGAGAAGGAACAAAGUCUGCAGAGAACAGGGAAAGGCGAUUAGGUAUCAUAUUUUUUUUAAAUAGGAUUUUGUGGUACAUGACCACAAAAUAAAACACAGCCUUUUAUACAUGUUUGAAGAGAGAGCUAGAGCUAUAGAUAGAUAGAUGAUAGAUAGAUUAAUAGAUAGAUGCUCAAUAGAUAGAUGAUCAAUAGAUAAGGAGGUAGGUAUAUAGAUAGAUGAUAGACAGAACCAAACACAAUAGAAGACCAAAAGGAGAAAAAGAUGGAGAUGAUAUUGCCUUCCUUUGUUUGCUAUUGAAACAAACUUAAUAAAUCCUCAUUGAGAC
ensembl:processed_transcript